GUUACUUUCGAUACAUUUUUGUAUUCACUACCUUUUAAUCUGUCUCACAGUAAUUUAUCAUAAUCAAUUGAAGAGAAGUACGCGUGACGAGUAAUUUUACUUACUUAUGACCGUCAAAAACCAGUCAAUCAAAAUACCGAUAAUUGCAGGUUAUUAUUCAUUCUAAAAUGCAUCCAUUGGUUUCUACAUAUUUUGGAGCGGAACGUUGGCAGCGCGGCUUUCCUGAAGUAUGCAUUGUGAUGUAUGUAAUUCUUGUGACUACAGCUAGUGCUGAACGAUCAUUUUCAAAACUAAAAUUGGUAAAGACUUAUUUAAGAAACUCUACUCUCGACAAGACAGGUUAUGUAACUUUGCUAUUCUGUCUAUUGAAAAUUCUAUGGCCCGAUUUCUAAACUUCGAUGAUGUUAUGACACUUUUGCGGAACAGAAAUCUCGAAAAAAAAUUUUUCUUAAUAAAUAACUUAUUGAAAUUAAA